GAUGAACGCUAGCUACAGGCCUAACACAUGCAAGUCGAGGGGCAGCGGGAAUUAAGCUUGCUUAGUUUGCCGGCGACCGGCGCACGGGUGCGUAACGCGUAUCGAACCUGCCUCAUACUCGGGGAUAGCCUUGCGAAAGUAAGAUUAAUACCCGGCGGUCUCGGAUGGCCGCAUGACUAUCCGAGUGAAGAUUUAUCGGUAUGAGAUGGCGAUGCGUCCCAUUAGCUAGUUGGUGAGGUAAUGGCUCACCAAGGCAUCGAUGGGUAGGGGUUCUGAGAGGAAGGUCCCCCACAUUGGAACUGAGACACGGUCCAAACUCCUACGGGAGGCAGCAGUGAGGAAUAUUGGUCAAUGGACGAAAGUCUGAACCAGCCAAGUAGCGUGCAGGAUGACGGCCCUCUGGGUUGUAAACUGCUUUUAGUUGGGAAUAAAAAGAGGGACGUGUCCCUUAUUGUAUGUACCAUCAGAAAAAGGACCGGCUAAUUCCGUGCCAGCAGCCGCGGUAAUACGGAAGGUCCAGGCGUUAUCCGGAUUUAUUGGGUUUAAAGGGAGCGCAGGCGGCGGCGUAAGUCGGUUGUGAAAUCGUGCGGCUUAACCGUGCAAUUGCAGUUGAUACUGCGUCGCUUGAGUGCACACAGGGAUGUUGGAAUUCAUGGUGUAGCGGUGAAAUGCUUAGAUAUCAUGAAGAACUCCGAUCGCGAAGGCAUAUGUCCGGAGUGCAACUGACGCUGAGGCUCGAAAGUGUGGGUAUCAAACAGG
rnacentral:rRNA from 1 species